GGGGGGGCAAGGGGUUUAGCUGUUAUGCUGUUAUGGGGCAUUUUAAUUCUUUGUUAUCUGUUAUUCUGAAAAUAUAUUUGCUGUUAGCUGUUAUUGUCUUAUUCAUUGUUAGCUGUUAUUGGGCUUUUAGUUUUUUUGUUAUCUGUUAUUGUGAUAAUGUUUUUGCUGUUAACUGUUAUUGAAAAUUGGAAUGUUAGCAUUUUUUUGAGAGCCAAAAUCGGUAGAAAUUGAUGACCAUUGGAUAUUAGAGUCUACCACUACUAAUAUGUUGGUCCCGUAUUCGGAGAAGGAUUCCAUUAACAUAAUUAUACCCAUCACAGAAGUGAGGUCCAGGACAAUUCCAGUAUAUCUUAUG
rnacentral:lncRNA from 1 species